UUCAUCUUUCUCCGCACGUAAUCCACACAAUACUCAGAUUCUCUCUACAGCCAGAUUCUCUCCACAGCCAGAUUCUCAGAAAAGCUGGUCAGAAAAAAGCUGAACCAAACAGGCCCUGUUUAUGACUGCAAGCUGAUGAAUGGUGGUGGUGGACGUUUGCUUGCGUACAUAACAUGCAGAGGAAGGAAAAAAAAAGAGAGUCAAACGCCGUAUCCUGUACUGUCCGAACCGAAUGCAGCACAGGUACAUCUACUCUACAUUGAAUAUAUACAGCUCCCGGCGUCUGGGGUUGGGUUGGGGUUUGACCCGUAGCAGAGCAGGGCAAAAGCAAAAGCUAAAGCCACUCCUCCUCCAGUGCCUGUCCACUGCACGUCACGUCACAUGGGCACUUGAACAACUGCUGCCUGCGGCGAGGCGAUGCCAUGCCAUCUGAUGAUCUGAUCUGCAGUCCAGUUAAUCCAGCACAUGUUAGUUAGGUUGAUGAGUUGUACUACUCUCUACUACUCCACCAAAGAAACAAACAAAAGAUAGUACAGUAACAGUGACCAUGCAUCUCUCCUUCCCAAGGUGGACGCAUUGGUUGCAUUGCAUCAUCGCAUUGAUCCAGCACAAGGCGCAGUGGCAGUGGCAGCAGGGAGUUGGUUGGUUGUUGAUCGUUGGGCGAUGGCGAUGUCGACGGCGACGUCCGUGCGCGCGCACUAGAUCUCAUGUCCGAUCAAUUCCAUGCAUGCCGGUUCCCGUCGUCCCCGGCCCCGGCUCCAGCUUCCAGGUCAACGAUAGAGCAGGCCCCGCUCCCGUCGCGCCAUUAACAGAGACAGACAGACGUCCACGAGGCCGUCGAUCGAAAUCCAAACCCCGGGGGCCGCGGCGAUGUGCCGGGGAAUCGGGUUCCUCACUCUGUCUCUCUCUCUCUCUCUCUCUUUCUCCCCCACGCAUACGCAUGCAAUC
rnacentral:lncRNA from 1 species